GGAGCUGAAGGAGGGAUUUUCUGCUGCAGCUGGCACCUUGGGUUUAUGUCUGCAGCUGAUAUGGUCAUCAUGUCCACUUGUUCGCAGCUUACAGGGUUGUUCUUUCAAGGACUGGCCUGUCUAGAAUUGGCGGGGAAGAGGAGGAAAGGUCAUGAUUGCUACUUACAGAUGUCUCACCUCAAAUUAAAGCUGCUGUUAUAACUUGACAGAAGAGCCACAAACCUCAGGGAGACUGCAGGUUCAUGAGGGAGAAAUCAAGGAGAAGCAUUUAACAUUGCUACUAAUUUAGUUGUAGGACAAAGUUCCCAGACACCUUUGUGAGUAGGGGCAGGUGGAUUGGGACUGCCACUGUUGAAGGCUAUCCACUCUGUAACAAGACAUGUAUUGAAGGUGUUAGCAGCUUUUGCACUAAUGGUUCCAAAAGCCCUCACAGAGGUACAAAGGCAUUAAACAACUGGGAGAACUCUACAACUUGUACUGGCUUCAAAAGUCUGGGAGAGAAAGAUGUGUGAAGAAGGAAGCUGCCAAGUUCCUAAAUGGGAGCUUUGACUUUAGGCAAUAAAAUUCCACUUCUCCCUUUUU